GAGAGGGGGAUGCCUAAGGUAGGACUGGUGACUGGGGUGAAGUCGUAACAAGGUAGCCGUACCGGAAGGUGUGGCUGGAUCACCUCCUUUUUAGGGAGACCUAAUCCACUCAGAAUCUCGAAAGCGAAAAGCGGAAAGUGAAAAGCCGGAAGCGAAAAGCAAAUAGAGAAUGAGAUGGUCUACUCUAGGUCGGUCGCAGAAGUUGAAAAGGCUUUCAAACUAAUAAUUAGGUUCAUAUGGGCUAUUAGCUCAGGUGGUUAGAGCGCACCCCUGAUAAGGGUGAGGUCCCUGGUUCGAGUCCAGGAUGGCCCACCUGAAAACAGUGAACAGUAAACAGUAAAAAGUGGUCAGAAAAAACUGAUAACUGGUAACUGAUAACUAAUAACUGGAUUUUGGGGGUUUAGCUCAGUUGGUAGAGCGCCUGCUUUGCAAGCAGGAUGUCAGCGGUUCGAGUCCGCUAACCUCCACAUGAAAAAGAAAAAAAGGAAAAGCCAGCAACUAGCGAAAGUUAGACUGCUGGGUGAAUCCAGCCAGAACCUUGAAAACUGCAUAGAAACGCGAUAAUAGCAGGCAGACACAGACAUGAAAAUGAAAGUGAAUGCAGGUGAAACACCAAUGAAU
rnacentral:misc_RNA from 1 species